rnacentral:rRNA from 1 species
UACGUAGGUCCCGAGCGUUGUCCGGAUUUAUUGGGCGUAAAGCGAGCGCAGGUGGUUUAAUAAGUCUGAUGUAAAAGGCAGUGGCUCAACCAUUGUGUGCAUUGGAAACUGUUAGACUUGAGUGCAGUAGAGGAGAGUGGAAUUCCAUGUGUAGCGGUGAAAUGUGUAGAUAUAUGGAGGAACACCGGUGGCGAAAGCGGCUCUCUGGACUGUAACUGACACUGAGGCUCGAAAGCGUGGGUAGCAAACAGG